AAGAAAAUUGUUCGAAGAAUGUAAGGUUGUACAAGCUACCCUUUUUCUUGCAGGUUAAGCAGGAUGAGUUCUUCCCGGCAGAUCUUAUCUUUCUUUCCAGCACAAACCCAGAUGGAGUCUGCUACAUUGAGACGGCGAAUUUGGACGGUGAAACUAAUUUAAAGAUCAGAAAAGCACUGGAGAAGACCUGGGAUUAUGUGUCUCCUGAGAAAGUAUCUGAAUUCAAAGGCGAAGUACAAUGUGAGCAACCUAAUAACUCAUUGUACACAUUCACUGGCAAUUUGAUAAUUCAAAAGCAAACCUUGCCACUCAGUCCAAAUCAACUUCUUUUACGGGGGUGCAGUCUGAGAAACACCGAGUACAUUGUUGGGGCUGUCAUUUUCACUGGGCAUGAAACAAAGGUAUUGA